CUAUACUGCAGUCGAGCGGACAGAUGGGAGCUUGCUCCCUGAUGUCAGCGGCGGACGGGUGAGUAACACGUGGGUAACCUGCCUGUAAGACUGGGAUAACUCCGGGAAACCGGGGCUAAUACCGGAUGCUUGAUUGAACCGCAUGGUUCAAUUAUAAAAGGUGGCUUUUAGCUACCACUUACAGAUGGACCCGCGGCGCAUUAGCUAGUUGGUGAGGUAACGGCUCACCAAGGCAACGAUGCGUAGCCGACCUGAGAGGGUGAUCGGCCACACUGGGACUGAGACACGGCCCAGACUCCUACGGGAGGCAGCAGUAGGGAAUCUUCCGCAAUGGACGAAAGUCUGACGGAGCAACGCCGCGUGAGUGAUGAAGGUUUUCGGAUCGUAAAACUCUGUUGUUAGGGAAGAACAAGUACCGUUCGAAUAGGGCGGUACCUUGACGGUACCUAACCAGAAAGCCACGGCUAACUACGUGCCAGCAGCCGCGGUAAUACGUAGGUGGCAAGCGUUGUCCGGAAUUAUUGGGCGUAAAGCGCGCGCAGGCGGUUUCUUAAGUCUGAUGUGAAAGCCCCCGGCUCAACCGGGGAGGGUCAUUGGAAACUGGGGAACUUGAGUGCAGAAGAGGAGAGUGGAAUUCCACGUGUAGCGGUGAAAUGCGUAGAGAUGUGGAGGAACACCAGUGGCGAAGGCGACUCUCUGGUCUGUAACUGACGCUGAGGCGCGAAAGCGUGGGGAGCGAACAGGAUUAGAUACCCUGGUAGUCCACGCCGUAAACGAUGAGUGCUAAGUGUUAGAGGGUUUCCGCCCUUUAGUGCUGCAGCAAACGCAUUAAGCACUCCGCCUGGGGAGUACGGUCGCAAGACUGAAACUCAAAGGAAUUGACGGGGGCCCGCACAAGCGGUGGAGCAUGUGGGUUAAUUCGAAGCAACGCGUAGAACCUUACCAGGUCUUGA
rnacentral:rRNA from 1 species